UUAUUACUCCCUCCUUCUGGAAUUACUUGUCGUAGAGAUGAAUAAAAAUAGAUGUAUGUAGAACUAAAAUACGUUUAGAUACAUCCAUUUCUCCGACAAGUAUUUACGGACGGAGGGAGUACUUU
rfam:Triticum urartu cultivar G1812 contig97859, whole genome shotgun sequence.